UUGUCUGUAGCGCAAUGGGUAGCGCGUUGGACUUCUAAUCCAAAAGUCAUGGGUUCGGAUCCACCUGGAAAG
rnacentral:tRNA from 1 species